GAGCCCCUGAGCCUCUGGCGAGCCCUUGGGUGGGAGCUCUCCCACGCUGCCCACGUGCCCCACGGCUGCCAACGGUCUUGAGCUCAGCUGAGCUUCCUGCAUUUGGACCCAACCAUGCCUCUGUUCUUCAUUCUCGCUGAGCUUGCCAUGCUGUUAGCCGCCCUCGUGAACUCAGGAUCGCCGACUGGAAUGGGACUACCAUGGAUUCAGGAAAUAAACCGAACCAAAUUAAAAGCGCCAAACUACAAAAUGCACGUUCUUGCUGCAGAUUCGGAAGGAAUAUGGCUGCAUAUCACAGUGCCACAGAAGAUAGAGCCAUUCAAGGGCGGAGAUUCAGAAGGGAAGGUGUCUUACGUCAUUACCAUUGACGGGAAACCCUACUUUCUGCACCUCAGGAACUACUCAUUUUUAUCCCGGAAUUUUUCGGUUUAUGCAUAUAAUGAAACUGGAUCCCUGUAUUCCGACUCUCCGCACUUUUUGGCUCAUUGCCAUUACCGAGGAUAUGUUGGUGAAGUACCAGAUUCCAUUGUGACACUCAGCCUCUGCUCCGGCCUCAGGGGAUUCCUGCAGUUGGAAAAUACCAGCUAUGGAAUCGAACCACUGGAGUCUUCAGCAAGAUUCGAGCACAUAGUUUAUCAAAUGAAGAGCAACAGCUCAACGUUAGCAGCAAAUUACAGCUGUAUUUGGCAGACAAGCCGCCAGCUUGAUAAAGGCCACUUCCGUGAGCAGGACAAAAACGAUUCACAGCUGCUACCUAAAAGUCUAAAAUUGCACAUUAUUGUGGGAAAAUUUUUGUUUGAUUAUAUGGGAUCUGACAUUAUGGCUGUAACACAGAAGAUCUUCCAGAUUAUUGGGCUUGUUAACACUAUGUUCACUCAGCUGAACUUAAAUGUUGUGUUGGCCUCCUUGGAACUGUGGUCAGAUAAAAAUCAAAUUUCUACUGACGGGAAUGCUAGCGAUAUUUUACAAAGACUUUUGGGCUGGAAACGAGACUAUCUUACCCCACAGUCCAACGAAAUAACACACUUACUCAUUUACAGGAAACAUCUGAAAUACAUCGGAGCUACGUCACCGGGUGAAUUAUGCAAUGAAAGCUAUGUCGCGGGGGUUGGUACGUAUCCAGAAGACAUAGGUUUGGAGGGACUCUCCAUGGUUAUCACUCAACUGAUUGGCCUUCACAUAGGAUUAACAUACGACGAUGUUGAUAAUUGUUCCUGCCCCAGAGCUCCAUGCAUAAUGCAACCGGAAGCAUUGAGUUCCAGUGGGAUGAAGACUUUUAGCAACUGCAGCGUGCACGACUACACGCAUUAUGCUUCGAAGCUUGACAUGCAAUGUCUUGGUGACCUGUCAAAUGUAUUACAACCAAAGCAAUCCGUGUGCGGCAAUGGAAUCGUGGAAGGCAGUGAGGAAUGUGACUGUGGUAACGAGACGGAAUGUCAAUUUAAAGAGUGCUGCAACCACGAAACAUGCAAACUGAAAGGCUCAGCACAGUGUGGAUCUGGAACGUGCUGCACACCCAAGUGUGAGCUGUCAGCAGCAGGCACUCCCUGUAGGAAGGCUGUUGACCCAGAGUGUGAUUUCACAGAAUAUUGCGAUGGAUCCUCUAGCCACUGUGUCCCUGACACCUUUGCGUUGGAUGGUCAUUUGUGCAGGUUGGGAUCGGCAUAUUGCUACAAUGGACGAUGCCAAGCUCUUAACGACCAGUGCGUCAGUUUGUUUGGAAAAGGUUCUCAAGGCGCUUCCUACGCCUGUUUUGAAAAAGUUAAUUCGCAACGUGAAAAUCUGGCAAACUGUGACUCUAAAAAUUCAUACUCGUUACCUUGUGGACAGAAGGAUGUUCUGUGUGGAAAAUUAGCUUGUUUUCGGCCAAACAAGAAUUAUAAAAGCUCUACUCAAUCUGUCCUGUAUUCGUAUGUCCAUGGCAGCGUGUGUCUCUCCAUACCUCCUGGGUUAUCUAUGAGAUCAGACGGCAAAGAUAACGCAUACGUGGCUGAUGGCACUGUGUGUGGACCACAAAUGUACUGUAUAAAUGGAAGCUGCAAAGAAGUUAAUUUCACGGGAAACGACUGCAACGCCGCUAAGAAGUGCAAAGGGAAUGGGAUAUGUAAUAACUUUGGUCAUUGCCAAUGCUUCCCUGACUACAGGCCUCCAGAUUGUAACUUACAGAUUGGAUCACCAGGGGGCAGCAUUGACGAUGGAAACCUUCUCCGAACUGAUUCGGCUUUGGCUACAAAGCGUCUGAGUCAACACGCGGACAGCUGGGUGAUCCUGGGCUUCUUCAUCUUCCUGCCUUUCAUCAUGACUCUCUUCCUUGGGAUCAUAAAGAGAAACGAAAGGAAAAUUGUGCCCCAGAAAGAACAAGAAAGAUGAGGGAGCACAUCUGAACACCUCGUGUAGCAAACGACAGUGGACUGUAAGAUCCCCACACUUGUGAAAACGUCUCAAUGGGAGCAACUCACUGCCCCGUAAAUCUGCUGAAGAGGUUAGCAGUGGAUGGACCAAAGGAGGAAGUGCGUGCUCUAAUCUCUCUGUUACCCUGGAAACGCUUUAGGUCUCAGACUUUUGGAAAAUAAAACUGACAAACGCAC